UACGUAGGGUGCGAGCGUUAAUCGGAAUUACUGGGCGUAAAGCGUGCGUAGGCGGUUCGUUAUGUCUGCUGUGAAAGCCCCGGGCUUAACCUGGGAAUGGCAGUGGAAACUGGCGGGCUUGAGUGUGGCAGAGGGGGGUGGAAUUCCGCGUGUAACAGUGAAAUGCGUAGAGAUGCGGAGGAACACCGAUGGCGAAGGCAGCCCCCUGGGCUGACACUGACGCUGAGGCACGAAAGCGUGGGGAGCAAACAGG
rnacentral:rRNA from 1 species